rnacentral:rRNA from 1 species
UACGUAGGGGCGAGCGUUGUCCGGAUUUACUGGGCGUAAAGCGAGCGCAGGCGGUUCCUUAAGUCUGAUGUGAAAGCCCACGGCUCAACCGUGGAAGGUCAUUGGGAACUGGGAAACUUGAGUGCAGGAGAGGAGAGUGGAAUUCCUAGUGUAGCGGUGAAAUGCGUAGAUAUUAGGAGGAACACCAGUUGCGAAGGCGGCUCUCUGGACUGUAACUGACACUGAGGCACGAAAGCGUGGGGAGCAAACAGGAUUAGAUACCCGUGUAGU